UAAUGUGAAUUGCAGAAUUCAGUGAAUCAUCGAAUCUUUGAACGCACCUUGCGCUCCUUGGUAUUCCGAGGAGCAUGCCUGUUUGAGUGUCAUGGAAUUCUCAACUUAUAAAUCCUUGUGAUCUAUAAGCUUGGACUUGGAGGCUUGCUGGCCCUUGCGG
rnacentral:rRNA from 1 species